AUUUUUGUGGAAUAUUUGUUUUGGAAUAUAUUACCCCAGUGAAGAAAGGGAUGCGUCUAAAGUAAGCUAGGACGACCCAUCAAGGUCAUCAGCCAGGCCUUCCUCUGAAUCUCCUACCUGCACUGCAUCAGUGGACACAUACAGUAUGCAACCUCAGCAUUUCUAGAUAACCAUCACCACUUGCAUCAAGUCCUGUCAUAACAUGUCUUAAACAUGCAUUAUUUUAUAUUUGAUCAGAGUAAUUAGAGUAACUAGAUAGAGUAAUUAGAGUAACUAGUACCUUUAUGUAUUUAGAUAUGUCUUUCUAGUUGUCUCUUUCUCUGUCUUUAAUAAAAAUUAGGGAGGAAAAUAUUUAAUACCUUAAUUGUAUCAUACUAGUCUGUCAUA